GACGAACGCUGGCGGCGUGCCUAAUACAUGCAAGUAGAACGCUGAAGAGAGGAGCUUGCUCUUCUUGGAUGAGUUGCGAGCGGGUGAGUAACGCGUAGGUAACCUGCCUUGUAGCGGGGGAUAACUAUUGGAAACGAUAGCUAAUACCGCAUAACAAUAGGUGACACAUGUCAUUUAUUUGAAAGGGGCAAUUGCUCCACUACAAGAUGGACCUGCGUUGUAUUAGCUAGUAGGUGAGGUAACGGCUCACCUAGGCGACGAUACAUAGCCGACCUGAGAGGGUGAUCGGCCACACUGGGACUGAGACACGGCCCAGACUCCUACGGGAGGCAGCAGUAGGGAAUCUUCGGCAAUGGGGGCAACCCUGACCGAGCAACGCCGCGUGAGUGAAGAAGGUUUUCGGAUCGUAAAGCUCUGUUGUAAGUCAAGAACGAGUGUGAGAGUGGAAAGUUCACACUGUGACGGUAGCUUACCAGAAAGGGACGGCUAACUACGUG
rnacentral:rRNA from 1 species